GACGAACGCUGGCGGCGUGCCUAAUACAUGCCAGUAGGACGCAGUUGCGAACGGGUGAGUAACGCGUAGGUAACUACCUAUUAGAGGGGGAUAACUAUUGGAAACGAUAGCUAAUACCGCAUACUAGUAGAUGGACCUGCGUUGUAUUAGCUAGUAGGUCGGGUAAUGGCCUACCUAGGCCACGAUACAUAGCCGAGCUGAUAUGGUUCUCGGCCAAACUGGGACGGAGACACGGCCCCGACUCCUACGGUAGGCCGCAGUAGGGAAUUGUCGGCAAUGGGGGGAACCCUGACCGAGUAACGCCGCGUGAGUGCAGAAGGUUUGCGGGUCGUAAAGCUCUGUUGUUAAGGAAGCGGUACUUAACCAAAAAGGGACGGCUAACUACGUGCCAGCAGCCGCGGUAAUAC
rnacentral:rRNA from 1 species